rnacentral:rRNA from 1 species
GACGAACGCUGGCGGCGUGCUUAACACAUGCAAGUCGAACGGAAAGGCCCUGCUUUUGUGGGGUGCUCGAGUGGCGAACGGGUGAGUAACACGUGAGUAACCUGCCCUUGACUUUGGGAUAACUUCAGGAAACUGGGGCUAAUACCGGAUAGGAUCUCCUGCUGCAUGGUGGGGGUUGGAAAGUGUCGGCGGUUGGGGAUGGACUCGCGGCUUAUCAGCUUGUUGGUGGGGUAGUGGCUUACCAAGGCUUUGACGGGUAGCCGGCCUGAGAGGGUGACCGGCCACAUUGGGCCUGAGAUACGGCGCAGACUCCUACGGGAGGCAGCAGUGGGGAAUAUUGCACAAUGGGCGGAAGCCUGAUGCAGCAACGCCGCGUGCGGGAUGACGGCCUUCGGGUUGUAAACCGCUUUCGCCUGUGACGAAGCGUGAGUGACGGUAAUGGGUAAAGAAGCACCGGCUAACUACGUG